CAACAAAAAUUUUGUUUUUGGAUAGAUGUAUUUAAAUAAACAUAACAGAAAUGUUACAGCUUAACUGUUUUAUAUAAAAAUUAAUAUUCCUUUAUAUAUUACACAAGGAAGGCUUCUAUACUUCUUUUCAAACAGUAGCUUUAUAUGGCAUAUCAAAAUAGCAGUUAUUUUAGCAGAGUUAUAUAACUAUAAAUAAAUCUAUAGUUUAAAAGGACAAUUACCUUCUCCUGUCUCUUUUACUUCUUAAAGAGAAAUUAAAUCCCAAGGACAUUUUGUUUGUUAAAAGUGUAUAAUCUCAACAUUUUUUAUGCAUGAGAACAUAACGAUAUCCUUAGAAAGCCCGUGGCAUAAACACAAAAAUGUUACAAAGACUUAAAAGCCCAAUUAUUAAUUACCUAAGUUGUUAAAACAUUUAUAGAAGCCAAUUUAUGAUAUUUUACAAUUAGAUAUUUACAAAUUUAUACUCAUGAAAUUCCAUGCAUAUAGAAAAAGUAGCCUUUUUAAUGACAUAUUUCCUAUUAUUUACAAAAUUGUCUUGAAUGGUGUUAUGCAGUCCGAAUAAAUACCAAACUAUAUUAAUUCAGAGUGAAUAAAAUUUUUAAAUACACAUUUCUUAUGAUUGAAAUAUAAUUUCCUAUCAGCAAUACAACUACAAAUAAAAUAAAAUCUAAGCACUGAGUAAUUAAAAUGUAAAAUUUUCUUUCAGCUGAGAAGGCAAAAAUGAAAAACUGCCCUUUUAACCUCUGCUUUGCUGUAACAAAUCAAGAAACAGAUUCCAAAAUAUGUGUAACUCAUGAAAUCCACAAGUGUAUCAAUUUCACUGGUAGGUGAAGAAAUAAACCAUGAAACUUUACAAUUAAUUAUUUACAAAAUUGUACUUUGUGAGACUAUACAUCUAGAAAGACCAGAUGUUAAAAAUUAAAAACUCAUAUCUGCCUAUUUACAAAGUUGUCUUGAAUAUUGUCAUGCAACAAAGGGAACACAUACAGAACUGUGUAUAGUUCCAAGAGGUAGUAUAAAAUCUUUUUAACCAAGUCACUUAUUAACUUGAAUGUUGGCAGGAAAGAAGAGACGGAAAAAGGAAAUAAUAUAAGGGGAGGAAUUAGUAACUGGAGGACAGAGAAUUUUGAGGUCCAUUAAAACACCAUGUAUGGUGUGAUGAUGAAUAUAUGUUCAUUAUACAUCUGUCUAAGCCACAGAAUGUACAAUACUAAGUUAAUCAUAAUGUAAAGGAUGGACUUUGGGUGAUUUGUGACAUGAUGUGUCAACUUAGGUUCAUCAAUGUAGCAAAUGUACUAUUUUGAUGGGGCAUUUGAUAAUGCGGGUGAAUUAUGCAUGUGUUGGGUUGAUAACAGAGGAGGAUUUAUACAUGCGUUGGGACAGGGAGUAAAUGGAAAACCCCUGUAUGUUCCCCUAAAUUUUGCCGUGAACAUAAAAUUGCUCCUAGAAAAAAAAAAAGGCUUAAUAAAAGAUCAUAACAUAAAAUACAUCAGGAAUAUUGGUACCUCCAAAAACACCAAAUAAAUUUAAAUGGCAUAGGUUUUUAAAUGGUAUAGUUUUACAUGGUGUAGUUUUUAAAUACACAUACUUGAUAAAAUGGCAAAUUAUUUUCCUAUAUGAGAACAGGGUAAAUGCAUAAUCUUGUCAAUGUUUCCUCGUAACCACCAAACAAACACAUGACAAAUUUUGCAAAACUCCAGGCCCUGUUUGUCAAUUUCAUGUCAUUAAUUUUAAAAGAUUAACAUACUUACAAUGCAGUAUUUACAAAAUUAUACCUUUUGAGACUCUCAAUCCAUUUAGAAAUACUAGUUGUUUAAAACAAAAUAUUUCUCUUGCUGCUUAUUUACAAAAUUUUCUUGGUUAUUGCCAGGUAACAAACUCAGAAACAUUUCUAUAAAAUGUUCUGCAGAAAAAUGAAUUGCAUCAUGAGCCACAACACAUCUUGGAAAUUAAGUUAUAUCUACAUGUUCCAUAAAUAAAAAGUAUAUGAAUAUCAGAAAUGUCUAUAUCUAGAAAAAAAUGUGUUUUUAACAUAACUAUGUAUAACAUCAGUCUAAAAGUCACAUUCUACAACUGUGAGGCUUAGUGUACCAUUACAUUUCUACAAACAAAAAAAAAAUGAUUAUGUGCUAUUAGUUUUAGGCAAAUAUUCAAAACUAUGAUAGAAAUUUAUGGACAGCUAUAGAAUAAUGUGGUAUAAAAACAAAAAUUUGAUCACAUGCACAGAAUUACAACCCUGACAAUGUGUAAACACAUAGAUGUCAUGUAACACUUCUAUUGAUAUUUUUCUCCCACCAAUGUGGCCACAACAAUAAAAAUAUUUU
rnacentral:lncRNA from 1 species